UACAGAGGGGGCAAGCGUUGUUCGGAAUUACUGGGCGUAAAGGGCGCGUAUGCGGCCUCUUAAGUCGAACGUGAAAUCCCCGGGCUCAACCCGGGAACUGCGUCCGAUACUGGGGGGCUUGAAUCCGGGAGAGGGAUGUGGAAUUCCAGGUGUAGCGGUGAAAUGCGUAGAUAUCUGGAGGAACACCGGUGGCGAAGGCGGCAUCCUGGACCGGUAUUGACGCUGAGGCGCGAAAGCCAGGGGAGCAAACGGG
rnacentral:rRNA from 1 species